rnacentral:rRNA from 1 species
CAGUCGCCACGGGAAUACAGAGGGUGCAAGCGUUAAUCGGAUUUACUGGGCGUAAAGGGCGCGUAGGUGGUUAUUUAAGUGAGAUGUGAAAGCCCCGGGCUUAACUUGGGAACUGCAUUUGAAACUGACAAGCUAGAGUCUUGUAGAGGGGGGUAGAAUUCCAGGUGUAGCGGUGAAAUGCGUAGAGAUCUGGAGGAAUACCGGUGGCGAAGGCGGCCCCCUGGACAAAGACUGACGCUCAGGUGCGAAAGCGUGGGGAGCAAACAGGAUUAGAUACCCCUGUAGUCCCUGUCUCUUAUAU